rnacentral:rRNA from 1 species
UACGAAGGGGGCUAGCGUUGUUCGGAAUUACUGGGCGUAAAGGGCUCGUAGGCGGCCAACUAAGUCAUACGUGAAAUCCCUCGGCUUAACCGGGGAACUGCGUCUGAUACUGGAUGGCUUGAGUUCGGGAGAGGGAUGCGGAAUUCCAGGUGUAGCGGUGAAAUGCGUAGAUAUCUGGAGGAACACCGGUGGCGAAGGCGGCAUCCUGGACCGAUACUGACGCUGAGGAGCGAAAGCCAGGGGAGCAAACAGG